rnacentral:miRNA from 1 species
UUUAAGAACCGAUUUUAAAAGUGCUACUUUUAAAAUCGGUUCUUAAGUAGCCAAUUUUAAAAGUAACACUUUCAAAAUCGGUUCUUAUG